UACAGGGGGGGCAAGCGUUGUUCGGAAUUACUGGGCGUAAAGGGCUCGUAGGUGGCCAACUAAGUCAGACGUGAAAUCCCUCAGCUUAACUGGGGAACUGCGUCUGAUACUGGAUGGCUUGAGUUGGGAGAGGGAUGCGGAAUUCCAGGUGUAGCGGUGAAAUGCGUAGAUAUCUGGAGGAACACCGGUGGCGAAGGCGGCAUCCUGGACCAACACUGACACUGAGGAGCGAAAGCCAGGGAGCAAACGGGA
rnacentral:rRNA from 1 species